rnacentral:miRNA from 1 species
AUUUGCACUGCUUUGAACCUGAG